rnacentral:rRNA from 1 species
GACGAACGCUGGCGGCGUGCUUAACACAUGCAAGUCGAACGAUGAAGCUGGAGCUUGCUCCGGUGGAUUAGUGGCGAACGGGUGAGUAACACGUGAGCAAUCUGCCCUUGACUCUGGGAUAACUGCGGGAAACUGUAGCUAAUACCGGAUACGAGGCUCGAAGGCAUCUUCGGGUCUGGAAAGAAUUUCGGUCAAGGAUGAGCUCGCGUCCUAUCAGCUUGUUGGUGAGGUAAUGGCGCACCAAGGCGACGACGGGUAGCCGGCCUGAGAGGGUGACCGGCCACACUGGGACUGAGACACGGCCCAGACUCCUACGGGAGGCAGCAGUGGGGAAUAUUGCACAAUGGGCGAAAGCCUGAUGCAGCAACGUCGCGUGAGGGAUGAAGGCCUUCGGGUUGUAAACCUCUUUUAGCAGGGAAGAAGCGAAAGUGACGGUACCUGCAGAAAAAGCACCGGCUAACUACGUGCCAGCCGCCGCAGUAA